UACGAAGGGGGGCUAGCGUUGUUCGGAAUCACUGGGCGUAAAGCGCACGAAGGCGGAUCGAUAAGUCGGGGGUGAAAGCCCGGGGCUCAACCUCGGAAUUGCCUUCGAUACUGUCGGUCUCGAGUCCGGGAGAGGUGAGUGGAAUUCCUAGUGUAGAGGUGAAAUUCGUAGAUAUUAGGAAGAACACCAGUGGCGAAGGCGGCUCACUGGCCCGGUACUGACGCUCAGGUGCGAAAGCGUGGGGAGCAAACAGG
rnacentral:rRNA from 1 species